UGAGGGACGGCGUAAGGCCGUGUGUGUGUGAGAGAGGCGUCCUGACACGGCCUUGUGACCCCAUGUCUGCGUGUGACACCCAGCGUAGUUAAUACAUUUGGGAACUUUCUGGAAAAGAGUUAAGAGGCACCAUGACAAGCUCCCAAGGACCUCCCUUUGUCCAAGAGGAAAGGAAAUGGUCUCCUGGGCUGUUUAUAAACUCUCACAUUUCCACCUUGUGUGAGAACAGUCGUCUGAAGAACCAGCUCUUAAAAUGAUGACACACCAUCCUCUAGACCUGCUGUUUUUAAAAUGUUAGUGGUGCUUUUGAUGUUCUUUUUUUAAGUUGCUUGGAUAGGAAUCAUUUCAUCAUCAUUAUAUAACAUGGAAAUGGCACUCUGGAAAUGACAUUUAACUUUGUCCCAAAUACAG